UAAGUCUUUGCCGUCUCCCCAGGGU
rnacentral:piRNA from 1 species